CCUACCCCCCUACCCCCCUCUGGUCUGCCCUGCACUGCACUGUUGCCAUGGGCAGUGCUCCAGGCCUGCUUGGUGUGGACAUGGUGGUGAGCCGUGGCAAGGACCAGAAUGGAUCACAGAUGAUCGUUGGCCAACAGGUGGCAGAAGAGGAAUUCCUGCCUUCCUCAAGAGGAACACCUACCCCUUGGCUAAUGCUGGGGUCGGAUUUUGAUUUAUAUUUAUCUUUUGGAUGUCAGUCAUACAGUCUGAUUUUGUGGUUUGCUAGUGUUUGAAUUUAAGUCUUAAGUGACUAUUAUAGAAAUGUAUUAAGAGGCUUUAUUUGUAGAAUUCACUUUAAUUACAUUUAAUGAGUUUUUGUUUUGAGUUCCUUAAAAUUCCUUAAAGUUUUUAGCUUCUCAUUACAAAUUCCUUAACCUUUUUUUGGCAGUAGAUAGUCAAAGUCAAAUCAUUUCUAAUGUUUUAAAAAUGUGCUGGUCAUUUUCUUUGAAAUUGACUUAACUAUUUUCCUUUGAAGAGUCUGUAGCACAGAAACAGUAAAAAAUUUAACUUCAUGACCUAAUGUAAAAAAGAGUGUUUGAAGGUUUACACAGGUCCAGGCCUUGCUUUGUUCCCAUCCUUGAUGCUGCACUAAUUGACUAAUCACCUACUUAUCAGACAGGAAACUUGAAUUGCUGUGGUCUGGUGUCCUCUAUUCAGACUUAUUAUAUUGGAGUAUUUCAAUUUUUCGUUGUAUCCUGCCUGCCUAGCAUCCAGUUCCUCCCCAGCCCUGCUCCCAGCAAACCCCUAGUCUAGCCCCAGCCCUACUCCCACCCCGCCCCAGCCCUGCCCCAGCCCCAGUCCCCUAACCCCCCAGCCCUAGCCCCAGUCCCAGUCCUAGUUCCUCAGUCCCGCCCAGCUUCUCUCGAAAGUCACUCUAAUUUUCAUUGAUUCAGUGCUCAAAAUAAGUUGUCCAUUGCUUAUCCUAUUAUACUGGGAUAUUCCGUUUACCCUUGGCAUUGCUGAUCUUCAGUACUGACUCCUUGACCAUUUUCAGUUAAUGCAUACAAUCCCAUUUGUCUGUGAUCUCAGGACAAAGAAUUUCCUUACUCGGUACGUUGAAGUUAGGGAAUGUCAAUUGAGAGCUUUCUAUCAGAGCAUUAUUGCCCACAAUUUGAGUUACUUAUCAUUUUCUCGAUCCCCUGCCCUUAAAGGAGAAACCAUUUCUCUGUCAUUGCUUCUGUAGUCACAGUCCCAAUUUUGAGUAGUGAUCUUUUCUUGUGUACUGUGUUGGCCACCUAAAACUCUUUGCAUUGAGUAAAAUUCUAAUUGCCAAUAAUCCUACCCAUUGGAUUAGACAGCACUCUGAACCCCAUUUGCAUUCAGCAGGGGGUCGCAGACAACCCGUCUUUUGUUGGACAGUUAAAAUGCUCAGUCCCAAUUGUCAUAGCUUUGCCUAUUAAACAAAGGCACCCUACUGCGCUUUUUGCUGUGCUUCUGGAGAAUCCUGCUGUUCUUGGACAAUUAAAGAACAAAGUAGUAAUUGCUAAUUGUCUCACCCAUUAAUCAUGAAGACUACCAGUCGCCCUUGCAUUUGCCUUGAGGCAGCGCUGACUACCUGAGAUUUAAGAGUUUCUUAAAUUAUUGAGUAAAAUCCCAAUUAUCCAUAGUUCUGUUAGUUACACUAUGGCCUUUGCAAACAUCUUUGCAUAACAGCAGUGGGACUGACUCAUUCUUAGAGCCCCUUCCCUUGGAAUAUUAAUGGAUACAAUAGUAAUUAUUCAUGGUUCUGCGUAACAGAGAAGACCCACUUAUGUGUAUGCCUUUAUCAUUGCUCCUAGAUAGUGUGAACUACCUACCACCUUGCAUUAAUAUGUAAAACACUAAUUGCCCAUAGUCCCACUCAUUAGUCUAGGAUGUCCUCUUUGCCAUUGCUGCUGAGUUCUGACUACCCAAGUUUCCUUCUCUUAAACAGUUGAUAUGCAUAAUUGCAUAUAUUCAUGGUUCUGUGCAAUAAAAAUGGAUUCUCACCCCAUCCCACCUUCUGUGGGAUGUUGCUAACGAGUGCAGAUUAUUCAAUAACAGCUCUUGAACAGUUAAUUUGCACAGUUGCAAUUGUCCAGAGUCCUGUCCAUUAGAAAGGGACUCUGUAUCCUAUUUGCACGCUACAAUGUGGGCUGAUCACCCAAGGACUCUUCUUGUGCAUUGAUGUUCAUAAUUGUAUUUGUCCACGAUCUUGUGCACUAACCCUUCCACUCCCUUUGUAUUCCAGCAGGGGACCCUUACUACUCAAGACCUCUGUACUAGGACAGUUUAUGUGCACAAUCCUAAUUGAUUAGAACUGAGUCUUUUAUAUCAAGCUAAUAUCUAGCUUUUAUAUCAAGCUAAUAUCUUGACUUCUCAGCAUCAUAGAAGGGGGUACUGAUUUCCUAAAGUCUUUCUUGAAUUUCUAUUAUGCAAAAUUGCCCUGAGGCCGGGUGUGGUGGCUCACACCUGUAAUCCCAGCACUUUGGGAG
rnacentral:lncRNA from 10 species